CACUCCUGCGGGAGACAGCAGUGGGGAAUCUUGCGCAAUGGGCGAAAGCCUGACGCAGCCAUGCCGCGUGAAUGAUGAAGGUCUUAGGAUUGUAAAAUUCUUUCACCGGGGACGAUAAUGACGGUACCCGGAGAAGAAGCCCCGGCUAACUUCGUGCCAGCAGCCGCGGUAAUACGAAGGGGGCUAGCGUUGCUCGGAAUUACUGGGCGUAAAGGGAGCGUAGGCGGACAUUUAAGUCAGGGGUGAAAUCCCGGGGCUCAACCUCGGAAUUGCCUUUGAUACUGGGUGUCUUGAGUAUGAGAGAGGUGUGUGGAACUCCGAGUGUAGAGGUGAAAUUCGUAGAUAUUCGGAAGAACACCAGUGGCGAAGGCGACACACUGGCUCAUUACUGACGCUGAGGCUCGAAAGCGUGGGGAGCAAACAGGAUUAGAAACCCGUGUAGUCCCAUGAU
rnacentral:rRNA from 1 species